AGGAGAAGCAACCCCAGUGGCGGCGGCCAGCUCUCCAACCCUAGAGUCAGCUCUGGCAGUAACUCCGGAGCUCUCGGUCUGCAGGGCCUGGAGGCUCCAGGGCGGG
rnacentral:pre_miRNA from 1 species